rnacentral:rRNA from 1 species
AUGUGGAUCCGCGACGACGCUCUCUCCUGGACCCAGUGCACGCGCGAAUGGAGGGAAGCAGAGGAGGAAGCUGCGAGGGAGGAAGCCAAGGAGGGACCGAAUCCAUUCUCUCACUCGCGCAGGUAUGCUCAGAUGUGCAAGGAUCAUGUGGAUUGGGAGCUGCUGAAUCUAGCCCCACGGAUCUACUUCGAAGGAGAUUUCUCGGAGAAGCACAGGAUGCCCCACCCUAGUGAGCCACCGAUUACGUUCGUUCGAUGGGCAAAAGUAGAAGUGAAUUCAGGAGAUCCACGCCGUGCUGCGAGAUGGGAAUGCUUGACUGGACUCCUGCCCACCAGCACGCCACCGGAGCCGGAGCAGGUGGAUCCCCUACCUUACCUCUCCCCAAACCUGCAGAAGAUUGAAAUUAGGCUUGCAAUCUACUUCAAUUGA